UACGAAGGGGGCGAGCGUUGUUCGGAAUUACUGGGCGUAAAGGGCGCGCAGGCGGCCCUUGAAGUCGGGCGUGAAAGCCCCGGGCUCAACCUGGGAGGUGCGCUUGAUACUCGAGGGCUUGAGUGCGGGAGAGGAGAGUGGAAUUCCCAGUGUAGAGGUGAAAUUCGUAGAUAUUGGGAAGAACACCGGUGGCGAAGGCGGCUCUCUGGACCGUAACUGACGCUGAGGCGCGAAAGCGUGGGGAGCAAACAGG
rnacentral:rRNA from 1 species